ensembl:lncRNA
CCUACAUUACUAGAUUUUCUUUUAUGAAUUGUUGGUUUUUAUCAAGUAUUCUUUUAGUGUGUUGCUGGCUUAUCUUUCUUAGUAGUUUAUUUAUGAUUUUUAAAGACAGACUUUUUAAAGAGAAGUUUCAGGUUUAUAGUAGAAUCAAUUAAAAGGCACAGAACUUUCUCAUAUAUUCUCAUACUCCAUAUACUAACAACCUCCCCCAUUAUCGGCAUCCUCCAUUAGACUUGUACAUUUAUUACAAUUGAUGAACAAACCUUGACACAUCAUUAUUGCCCAAGUCUGUAGUUUACAUUAUAGUUCACUUUUCAUGUGACACAUUCUAUGAGUUUGGACAAAUGUAUAAUGAUAUGUAUCCACCAUUAUAAUACCAUAUAGGGUAGUUUUAUUCUCCUAAAAUCCUCUGUGUUGUGUCUUUUCAUUCAUCCCUUUCCUCUAACCCCUGGAAAAUAGCUGUAUUUUUUAGGCUCUAUAGUUUGGCCUUUUGCAGAAUGUCAUAUCAUUGGAAUCAUACAGUAUGUAGCCUUUUCAUAUUGGUGUCUUUGACUGAAUAAUAUGCAUUUAAGUUUCCUUCAUGUCUUUUCAAGUCCCGGUGGCUUAUUUAUUUUCAGAGCUGAAUAAUAUUCCACUGUCUGGGUGUACCAUAGUUUAUCUGUUCAUCUGUGGAAAGACAUCUUGGUUGCUUCUAAGUUUUACUAUGAAUAAAGCUGCUAUAAACAUUUAUGUGGAGGUUUUGCAUGGACAUACGUUUUGAACUCCUCUGGGUAAAUAACAAGGAGUGUGAUUGCUUGAUUAUGUGGUAAGAGUAUGUUUAGUAAGAACUACCAUACUGUCUUCCAAAGUAGCGAAGUGUAUCAUUUUGCAUUCCCACCAACAGUGAGUGAGUGUUCAUGUUGCUCCACCUCUUUGUCAGCAUUUGGUGAUGUCAGUGUUCUGGAUUUUGGCCAUACUAAUAGAUGUAUGGUGGAAUCAUGUUCUAAUUUGUAUUUUCCUGGUGAUGUGUUAUGUGGACCAUUCUCUCAUAUGCUUAUUGGCCAUCUUAAAAUUUUUUUUUUUAAAUAGACUUUUUUUAGGUUAGAGUAUUAUUAGGUUCACAGCAAAACUGGGUGGAAGGUAUAGACACUUUUCAUGUACCUCACAUGACAUGACAUCACAGCUACAGAACUUGCACCAUUAUCAGUGGCUCCCUACAAGAGUGGAAUGUUCAUUAAAGUUGAUGAACCUACAUUGAUAAUGUCAUUAUCACCCAGAGCCCUGAGUUUAUAUUAGGGUUCAAUCUUGGUAUUCUACACUCUAUGGGUUUGGACUAAUGUAUCCACCAUUAUAUUCACCAUUCACUGUGUAUUCACCAUUAUAAUAUCCUGAGUAUGAUAAAAUGAAAGUAUGAUUAAAGUAUGAUUAGAUUUUAUCUAUUGAUAAUGAACAUUUUCCUAUAGUAAUAAUCUUCUAUGAUAAUUUUAAUAGCAUUUUAUUUUUAGGUAUAUGCUGUAGUUAUUUUACCUUCCUGGUACUAUUCCAAAUUUUCCUUAUUACAGGCAACACUGCAGCAAAUGCCCUGAUCCAGUCUUUCUUUUUUUCUUUGUCUUUUUAGGGCCACACCCAUGGCAGAUGGAGGUUUCCAGGCUAGGGGUCGUAUCAGAGCUGUGGCCACCAGCCUACACCACAGCCACAGCAACACAGGAUCAAGCUGAGUCUGUGAUCUACACCACAGCUCAUGGCAAUGCUGGAUCCUUAACUCACUGAGUGAGAUCAGGGAUAGAACCCACAUCCUCAUGGAUUUUAGCCAAGUUCAUCAGCCACUGAGCCACAACGGGAACAUCUGAUCCAGUCUUUUGUAUUUGUGCUCCCUUAAGGCAGUUUCUAACAGUGUUAUUUCUGAAUCAUAACACUUUUAAUGAUUUGGAUAAUUUUAAUUUCUUCUCUCUCCAGAGUCCGUAUGAACUCACUCCUUUACCAGAAGAGUGUAAGGGAUGUGCAUUUCCAAGAGCCUUCUAUAACAGUGGAUGUUAGCAGUUUUAAAAAUUAAAGUAUAACUGGAGUUCCCAUCGUGGCGCAGUGGUUAAUGAAUCCGACUAGGAACCAUGAGAUUGCGGGUUCAAUCCCUGGCCUUGCUCAGUAGGUUAAGGAUCUGGCAUUGCUGUGAGCUGUGGCGUAGG